GACAGAGGUGCCGAGCGUUAGGCGGAAUCACUGGGCUUAAAGCGUGUGUAGGUGGAUGUCUAAGUACCUUGUGAAAUCCCACGGCUUAACCGUGGAACGGCUCGGUAUACUGGAUGUCUUGAGCCAGCUAGGGGCUACCGGAACAAAUGGUGGAGCGGUGAAAUGCGUAGAGAUGUGGAGGAAUACCGAUGGCGAAGGCAGCCCCCUGGGAUAACACUGACGCUCAUGCACGAAAGCGUGGGGAGCAAACAGG
rnacentral:rRNA from 1 species